rnacentral:tRNA from 1 species
GCUCCAGUGGCGCAAUCGCUCAGCGCGUGGUACUUAUAAUGCCGAGGUUGUGAGUUCAAGCCUCACCUGGAGCA